GCCAGAGUGGCAUAGUGGUUUGAGUAUUGGACUAUGACUCUGGAGACCAGGGUUCAAUUCCUGGCUCAGCCA